rnacentral:rRNA from 1 species
UACGGAGGGGACUAGCGUUGUUCGGAAUUACUGGGCGUAAAGCGCACGUAGGCGGAUUUGUUAGUCAGGGGUGAAAUCCCGAGGCUCAACCUCGGAACUGCCUUUGAUACUGCAAAUCUCGAGUCCGGAAGAGGUGAGUGGAAUUCCUAGUGUAGAGGUGAAAAUUCGUAGAUAUUAGGAAGAACACCAGUGGCGAAGGCGGCUCACUGGUCCGGUACUGACGCUGAGGUGCGAAAGCGUGGGGAGCAAACAGGG